rnacentral:rRNA from 1 species
UACGAAGGGGGCUAGCGUUGUUCGGAAUUACUGGGCGUAAAGGGCGCGUAGGCGGUCUGGUCAGUCAGAAGUGAAAGCCCCGGGCUUAACCUGGGAACUGCUUUUGAUACUGCCAGACUUGAGUUCCGGAGAGGAUGGUGGAAUUCCCAGUGUAGAGGUGAAAUUCGUAGAUAUUGGGAAGAACACCGGUGGCGAAGGCGGCCAUCUGGACGGACACUGACGCUGAGGCGCGAAAGCGUGGGGAGCAAACAGG